rnacentral:ribozyme from 13 species
AUCAUUUGGCAACGAACCACAAACAAAACCAAAGAGAAAGAAAAAGAACAAGAGAAAGAAGGAGAAGACAAUCCGUGGCCCCAUUUUCCAAAACCUUUUUUUUUGUUUUGUU